CUGCAGAUACUGAAAAUAGUUGUGAAAGAUUGUAACAGGAUCUGUAUUGAUUGGCCAGGUGGGCUGAGGAAUGGUUGAUGGAAUUUAAUGCAGAAAAGUGUGUUGCAUUUUGCGAUGUCUAACAUGGGCUGGAUCUACACAGUGAAUGGUUGGCCUCUGGGGAGUGUUGUAGAACAGAAGGAUCUAGGAGUGCAGGUGUAUGGUUCCUUGAUGUUCGA